rnacentral:rRNA from 1 species
CCUACGGGCGGCAGCAGUGAGGAAUAUUGGUCAAUGGGCUUACGCCUGAACCAGCCAAGUCGCGUGAGGGAAGACUGCCCUAUGGGUUGUAAACCUCUUUUGUCAGGGAGCAACGCCGGCUACGUGUAGCCGGACUGAGAGUACCUGAAGAAAAAGCCUCGGCUAACUCCGUGCCAGCAGCCGCGGUAAUACGGAGGAUGCGAGCGUUAUCCGGAUUUAUUGGGUUUAAAGGGUGCGUAGGCGGAAUGCCAAGUCAGCGGUAAAAUCGCGGGGCUCAACCUCGCGCCGCCGUUGAAACUGGCGGUCUUGAGUGGGCGAGAAGUAUGCGGAAUGCGUGGUGUAGCGGUGAAAUGCAUAGAUAUCACGCAGAACUCCGAUUGCGAAGGCAGCAUACCGGCGCCCAACUGACGCUGAAGCACGAAAGCGUGGGUAUCGAACAGGAUUAGAUACCCGAGUAGUC